ACAAUACACAGUGCAUCAUCCAGGUAUAUACCAAAGCUUCUACUCUUAUCUGGAAGAAAAGAUAUUAUAUAAUUUCCCCAAUAUGAUAGGAAAAACGUUAGACCUCCCAGUUAAACAUGACACGAACAAUCACAUUGCUGCUGAUAUCCCUAGGUGUGCUCCUUGCUCUGGUAACAGCACAAUCAAUACCUGACUGUACAGAUGGCAAAGUAUAUACUGAUUGUGGGAGCAACUGUCCACCAACCUGCAAUAACCCGGAUCCUGUAUGCGAUAAAAUGUGUGUUCCAGGUUGUUUCUGCCCAAAGGGCACUGUAGAAAAUAUCUGGGGUGAAUGUGUGGAAAAGGAUAAGUGCUGACUCUGAAGCGGGAACACAACAUAUUCCAAUUGUGACAAUAACUGCCCUGGUGUUGUAUCUCCCCCAAAUUGCCUUAGAAUAGAAUGUAUGCAAGGCUGUGCAUGUAAACCCAACUACGCGCUCCUACCUGACAGCAAGAGAUGUGUCCGUCCACAGGAUCUCCCCAAAGUUGGCUCCAACAAGUAAACCAUCCCAUGUGUGUCUUAUUAGCAAUCAUCAAAAUUGAAAGUUUGAGAUGUGUCUGAUGAAAAUAAAAUGAUUGCUGACAUUGUU